UACAGAGGGGGCAAGCGUUGUUCGGAAUUACUGGGCGUAAAGGGCGCGUAGGCGGCCUGCUAAGUCGAACGUGAAAUCCCCGGGCUCAACCCGGGAACUGCGUCCGAUACUGGUUGGCUUGAAUCCGGGAGAGGGAUGCGGAAUUCCAGGUGUAGCGGUGAAAUGCGUAGAUAUCUGGAGGAACACCUGCGGCGAAGGCGGGUUGCUGGGCCGACACUGACGCUGAAGCGCGAAAGCCAGGGGAGCGAACGGG
rnacentral:rRNA from 1 species